rnacentral:lncRNA from 1 species
GCCUUCUCCUGUCUGCCACCACGUGAGAUGUGCCUUUCACCUUCCACUAUGAUUGUGAGGCCUCACCAGCCAUGUGGAACUGGUUCAAGAUUUCAACAUUUUAAGAUAAUCUGAAAAAAAUUGGAAUGUGCCCCCAGCUGCGUGAGUAACUAAAGAUAACAGUAACCAAGUCUCAUUGGAUGACCCAGUUCAGCUAAAAGCUUCUCUUACAGAUGAUGCUAUAUUCUUGAGAGGAGCUUAGAGUGACUGUGUGGUUCACAAACUGUGCAAAUCAAAAUGUAAAUUCUUAGCUUAUCUAAUAAUUGAUUUAUUGUGUAAGGUACAAUAAAUGGUUUAACCACUCUGAAAUUUAUUUUCAAAAUAAAAUGAACUCUAGAUGUAUUCCUAACAGAUGCAGAGAAACUCACACUAGGAUGCCUUGAGGUUUUCUGAGAUGUUUAUUUAUCCUUUGUUUCAAUAGUGAGAACUAAUUAGAAUAAAAUAAAAUUAAUGAGAGCUAAUUAGAAUAAAGAUAAGAUUGAUUAUUUCUACUUCCAGUUAAAACUAAAGAUGCAGAAUCAAUUUUAUGGAAAAAAAGGUUGCCAGGUUUUACUAAAUUCAAGGCUGUUUUUUUCCCUCUAUUUGUUUAGGAUAAACAUAGGCUUCUUCCUGCAUGUCAAUACAAUACUACAUUUGGCAAGUGUCUCCUGUUUCCAGAUGAUCCCGGCAGUUCAUUGUUCGGGAUAUUGAUUUUAAUUAGCACAAGUGGAUCAGCAGCUCUCACUUCAGUUGAUCUGAAAAUCAACAUCUCUAGAUGCUUUUCCUCUGCUCUUCCUUCCUUCAGAAGAGGAAACGCAGUUUUUCAUGUUUGAAAAUCAAUAGAAUAAUUGCAGGCCAAUAACUCUAUGCCAGCAGAACUCAUCUGUGAACAACCAAAAGAAAGAAGCCAAAAGAAUGGUUGAUUCAUUUUUGUUGUAAUAUACAAUUACUUAGAGCACUGUUCCUAUAGAGGAGAUCUAGUCAGAAAAGAAUUAAAUCACUCCUUCCAACAAAAUUGCUUAUGCAGGUAAAUAGAAACCAAAAGUCAGUGUAUGAUAAAGAAGAAAGCUACCAUUUGAGGAAGAAAAGCCCAGGUAGUGGGUCUGAGAAGUUACAAACAUUUAGUACUGCCAGCAACAUCAGUUGGCUCUCUUGGUAGUUUUCCACGGAGGUUUUACAUUCAGCUUUUGCCUACUGACAUGACCUGAACUUGCCUUGAAUUUCCUUUCACUGAGCACUGGGGAUUACAUAUUUUUCCAAAUGCAACGGUCUAAAUAUUAAGUAAAUUUCAAACUUCAGAUGAAAAUUUUUAGAAGGGUAGGUGGAACCUAUUUUGAAGGUCUCUUUUAAUCUUCCAAUUAAUUUCAUGAGUUUAUUGCUUAGAACUUGAUCCUAGAGAUUAUCUUGUAAAAAGCUUAUAAUUUUCUUUCUAGGAUAAGAGAAUCUCUCAGGAGGCUGAAUUUAAUAAAUUAUGUUGUCGAAAUGUCAUCAAUAAGCAAACACCAAUUCAAUGUCUUUCUAAUCAAACUCAUAGCAAUAGCAGAAUGGUGGUUUCUAGGAACAAGAAAAGGUAGGGAGUUGAUAAGUAGAUGUAAAGUUUCAGUUAUGCAGAAUGGGCGUGGGAAGAGCUUUUAGAAAUCUGUUGCACAAAAAUGUGCAUAUGGUUCUAUCCAAGUCUCUGUGUGUGUGUGUGUGUGUGUGCAUAUGUGUUUGUAAAAAUUUUUUGGUCAGUGACUUAAAUGAGGACAGAAAUACUAUGUUUGGCAAACUGACAAACUUACUGAAUAAGUGGUCAUUGUGAUAACAUGAAGGCAGAGGAAAAAAUACGUUAAAAAUGGCUUUAAAGUUAUGAUAAACAGAUCUAACAAGACAAAAUGUAAUAAACUAAAUAUUUAUCAAAUAUAAACACAUAAACAUAAGCAAAAUACAAAAUAUAUUUCUAUAUUUUAUGCAAUAUGGUUAUAUAAU